AUGUGGUUUAAUUCGAGCAACGCGAAGAACCUACCAGGCCUUGACAUGCAGAGAACUUUCCAGAGAUGGAUUGGUGCCUUCGGGAACUCUGACACAGGUGCUGCAUGGCUGUCGUCAGCUCGUGUCGUGGGAUGUUGGGUUAAGUCCCGUAACGAGCGCAACCCUUGUCCUUAGUUACCAGCACGUUAUGGUGGGCACUCUAAGGAGACUGCCGGUGCAAACCGGAGGAAGGUGGGGAUGACGUCAAGUCAUCAUGGCCCUUACGGCCUGGGCUACACACGUGCUACAAUGGUCGGUACAAAGGGUUGCCAAGCCGCGAGGUGGAGCUAAUCCCAUAAAACCGAUCGUAGUCCGGAUCGCAGUCUGCAACUCGACUGCGUGAAGUCGGAAUCGCUAGUAAUCGUGAAUCAGAAUGUCACGGUGAAUACGUUCCCGGGCCUU
rnacentral:rRNA from 1 species